ensembl:piRNA 21ur-1711 ncRNA
AUAUUCAGUUGUUCUUUUUAA